rnacentral:rRNA from 1 species
GUGGGGAAUCUUGCGCAAUGGGCGAAAGCCUGACGCAGCGACGCCGCGUGCGGGAAGAAGGCCUUCGGGUUGUAAACCGCUUUCAGGAGGGACGAAGCCACUCGGGUUAAUAGCCCAGAGGGUGACGGUACCUCCAGAAGAAGCCCCGGCUAACUACGUGCCAGCAGCCGCGGUAAUACGUAGGGGGCAAGCGUUGUCCGGAUUUAUUGGGCGUAAAGAGCGUGUAGGCGGCCAAAUAGGUCGGUUGUGAAAACUGGAGGCUUAACCUCCAGACGUCGACCGAAACCAUUCGGCUAGAGUCCGGAAGAGGAGAGUGGAAUUCCUGGUGUAGCGGUGAAAUGCGCAGAUAUCAGGAAGAACACCCGUGGCGAAGGCGGCUCUCUGGGACGGUACUGACGCUGAGACGCGAAAGCGUGGGGAGCGAACAGGAUUAGAAACCCGUGUAGUCC